CAGUCGCCGCGGUAAUACGGAGGGGGCUAGCGUUGCUCGGAAUUACUGGGCGUAAAGCGCACGUAGGCGGCUUGGUAAGUUAGAGGUGAAAGCCUGGAGCUCAACCCCGGAAUUGCCUUUGAAACUGGAAAGCUAGAAUCUUGGAGAGGUCAGUGGAAUUCCGAGUGUAGAGGUGAAAUUCGUAGAUAUUCGGAAGAACACCAGUGGCGAAGGCGACUGACUGGACAAGUAUUGACGCUGAGGUGCGAAAGCGUGGGGAGCAAACAGGAUUAGAUACCCCGGUAGUCCCUGUCUCUUAUAA
rnacentral:rRNA from 1 species